ACUAGUAAACAGCAGUAACUAAGGAUUUAAUAUGAUAUUCUAGGAUUUUUGCACAAGAAUUAAAGGAAUUAUGUUAAUUUUCUAUCCGCACAUGGGCUUUUAUGGUCUACACUGGCCCAAUUAAUCCAAUGAAAACCUAAAUGGGCCGCCUUUGACCAAUUGGAGCUCCCUUGCUUCUUGAGCCGAUUCAACUGGCAGUUGGCGAGCAUCACCGUCACAAACCUCUCAAAUUUGGAAGCAAUAAAAUUUCAAAUCACCAAUUUCUCCGCCCUUUCUCCCCAGGGCAAAGAAGGAGAAGCAGAAAGCAUAAGGCCUAACAUUAGCUUUACCACACAUUGUCUUAGAUACCAAGCCAUAAAACCCUAGCUUCUCGAAAUCAUCAUCCAUUUCCAACCACCACGAGGCCGAAAUUGUUCAAGUUGAGAGAAUUGCAACACAGAUUCAAAUUGAGAGCCCAAGGCCCCCCACAAGAUGCUGCAUCUGCUGCAGUACAUUGGAGACUUGCUGCUGCAGCUAAUGCUGCAUCAGGUAAUAAAACUGCUGCUUGGUAGUCAUGCGCUUGGCUGGUGGGAGGGCCCCUAUGAAUGCAAAGCUGGUUAUUUUUCCCAAUGUUGAUCUUUUCUUGGACACAAUUGCAUAUGAUAGGGAUCCGAACUAAUAAAUUAUUUUGAAUUCUACAUUCAAAAUGUCUCCCUUGCUCUCUUGGAUGAGAUUCUCUAAUUGGUCGCCUGUUGUUCUUGCCAAUGUUAAGGGUGUGUAAUUUGGUUGUGUUCAUUGUUAACUUUGUGAUUUGAAGUCAUAAUUUGUCUAAUGGAUAAAUUGUCCUAUUGUUGGAUAUUCUAGAUAUUACUUUCUUUCUUCCUUUUUUUUCUUUCUUUUUUUUUUCCCCUCUAUAAACCCUUGUUGAGUUGCUUUUCGUAGAAGUAUACUGUAUCUUGACAAAUUAUUCGGUGCAUCCGGUGCAUGUUUUCCUUCAUUUCCUCAUAAGGGGUUACCCGGUCGUAAUUUCUCCCUUUUUUUUUUUUUUUGCAAGAAUUUAUGAUACAAGGUGAUGAUCAUAUAUAAUGGGACAGGAAGAGGUGGUGAAUGUAUAUGGUGGAAGCCUUUCAAAGAUCGAGAUGAACUCCAAGUUGCUCCAUUCUGGACGAGGUGGGCAAAUAGUGGGCCCCACACCAAUGGUUUCUCAAAUUUUCAUUCUUUAGUAGUUUGCAAAUCAUCUGAACUUUAAACAUACAGUUUUUGUCGAGUCAUUACAUUGGCUGCAAUCCAAUGGAAAAGGUUCCGGCUGACAACAGUGCCAGAACUCUGUCCGUGUGCAGGAUGGUAUAAAAUUUAGUUCCCUAAUUGUUUGUCAAUCCCUAUAUGGAGCCUGACGAAGAAGAGGGUAUGCAAUAAAAGGCCAAAGAUGAGAAGAUCCACAGAGAACUAAGAACAUGACAAGGCUGGGGCAUGACAAAGCAAUCCAGGCACAGGAACUGCAGGAUCAAACAGACACUGUUGAGAAGGCAUUCCAUUCCAUUCCACUGAUUUGUUUUGGCUGGUUUGUCUUUACAAUAAAAUGUAUUAGUCAGAAAUUAUAUUUAGUUCUGAUAAAAACGCAGCGUUUGUCCAGUCCAAAGAGUGCCUUCCCACUCUCUUGUGUCUCACACGCACCCACUCAUACUUUGUGCAGCAGAGUCUGAGUGAACAUGUGUAAAGGUUUCAAACUGCCCUUUAUGCUGCAGCCUUUUACAUAUUGGUAUCAUUAAUUUUAAGGUGAAUUGUCAUAAUCUCAUGAUGGACUUCUAGGACCAUCAAUCUUCGUGGUUUUUGAGCAGUUUCUGUCUGAAUUCAGAGGUCCCAUUCCAAGCUGUUCCAUACCAAUUGUGACUUUUUACAGCUAAUUUUCAGCCCCAUAUUUGGUAUAUUGCUAGUGGAUUUUGACACUCCCCCAGAGUUUUCUUUUCUGCCUUUAUUUUUUUUUUUCCCUACUUGAAUGGGCUACUUCCCAAAUUGCGGUUUGACACUUGGCUGCUUCAAGUCAUCUUCUUGCAAAAUUGCUUCAAAUGCUGCAACUCUAAAACCCAUAAAUACUCCAAGACAAGAGAAGUGAGAUCCUAAUAUGGCAUCUCCAGAAUAUGAAGCUGCCGGCUGUUUCUCUAAUGAGGACUGUGAAGCAGCAUUUGCCCCUUUUAUUUAAUUUUUUUUUUUAUUUUUUAUUUUUACC